rnacentral:rRNA from 1 species
GACGAACGCUGGCGGCGUGCUUAACACAUGCAAGUCGAACGGAAAGGCCCUUCGGGGUACUCGAGUGGCGAACGGGUGAGUAACACGUGGGCGAUCUGCCCUGCACUUUGGGAUAAGCCUGGGAAACUGGGUCUAAUACCGAAUAGGACCACGCGCUUCAUGGUGUGUGGUGGAAAGCUUUUGCGGUGUGGGAUGGGCCCGCGGCCUAUCAGCUUGUUGGUGGGGUAAUGGCCUACCAAGGCGACGACGGGUAGCCGGCCUGAGAGGGUGACCGGCCACACUGGGACUGAGAUACGGCCCAGACUCCUACGGGAGGCAGCAGUGGGGAAUAUUGCACAAUGGGCGCAAGCCUGAUGCAGCGACGCCGCGUGAGGGAUGACGGCCUUCGGGUUGUAAACCUCUUUCACCAGGGACGAAGCGUAAGUGACGGUACCUGGAGAAGAAGCACCGGCCAACUACGUG